rnacentral:rRNA from 1 species
AUGUCGGACAAACCAGCAUUUGCGGAUGGGGUGGCAAAUGCGCUGGGGAAGGUCUUGUGUCCCUUGAGGGGACUAAGGUGCAAAGAUCUGGGCGACAACAUUUUUAUCCUUACUUUCCAUCAGCAGUCAGGAAAAAGGAAAGCCCUCAACGACGGACCCUGGAUGUUUGGGAAGUCUCUACUGGUGAUGGAGGAUUUUGAUCCGAGCAAGGGUAUCAAGGACUACAAGUUCACAACGAUCCCGAUAUGGGUCAGUGUGUUUGAUUUGCCACUGGGAAUGAUGUGCCGUGAGGCGGGCCUUGCCAUUGGGGAAAUAAUAGGAGAAGCCCUUGAAGUAGAUGCCGGUGCGGACGGUAUGGCGGUGGGAAAAUACUUGAGGAUCAAGGUCCAUAUGGAUAUUACAAAGCCCAUCCUGAGGUGUUUCGUGCUAGAUGCUGAUGAUGAGAAGGAAAUAGAGGAGAAGAACUUAACAGAAGAAGCAAGGAGAAAGUGGGAGCAGGAAAAUUGGCGUCGGUUCGAAUAUGAGUUCUUGCCCAAUUUCUGCUACAUUUGUGGCAGGCUUGAUCAUGUUGAGAAUGGCUGCUCUAUCAGGCUGAAGAGGGGGGAGAAGCAGUUCGGCUAUUGGCUAAAGGCCUUUAUACCAAAAUCCACGGGUGAAAAUAAUAGAGGCAGCAGGAAUGAGGGCCAGAACAAUUCUCGAGGGUGA